rnacentral:rRNA from 1 species
AUGCUCUUAUCUCUCUGUGACGCAACACGACCUCCCUCCCUCUGUUUCUCGCCCAGGAAGCCACGGCCGCUUCAGCCACCGCUCUGCCACUCGCCGCUCGCGCCCUUCUUCCUUCCUUCCGCGAGUGAGCUCCGGCGAACUCACGUCAGGCCACCGCUCCGCCACGACGGCGCCCUUCUUCCUCUCCCCCGUCACCCAUCUUCCUCUCUCCCUACCUCCCUUUGCUCUGCCCGCCGCUCUUCUUCCUCUCUCUGGAGCUGCCUUGCUCCUCGUGCUCUUCGAGCUCCGUUGCUGCUCCGGCCAUGGCCGCCGCCGUCCGCUGCUGCUCUGGCACACUGCUCGUUGUACGCAGGACGCCGGCCACACUGCUCGCGCUGCUCGCCGGAUACGUUGCUCGCUGUAUGCAGGACUCCAGACACACUGCUCGUCGGACGCUGUUUUCUUAAUAUUUACCCAAAAUCUUUGUCGUGUGUGAUUUGA